rnacentral:rRNA from 1 species
UACGUAGGCAGCGAGCGUUGUUCGGAUUUACUGGGCGUAAAGAGUGCGUAGGCGGUUUUCUAAGUUUGGUGUGAAAUCUCCCGGCUUAACUGGGAGGGUGCGCCGAAGACUGGAAGGCUUGAGUAUGGGAGAGGUAAGCGGAAUUCCUGGUGUAGCGGUGAAAUGCGUAGAUAUCAGGAGGAACACCUGCGGUGUAGACGGCUUACUGGACCAUCACUGACGCUGAGGCACGAAAGCGUGGGGAGCAAACAGG